GAGGAAUAUUGGUCAAUGGGCGAGAGCCUGAACCAGCCAAGUCGCGUGAAGGAUGACUGUCUUAUGGAUUGUAAACUUCUUUUAUACGGGAAUAACAAGAGUCACGUGCGACUCCCUGCAUGUACCGUAUGAAUAAGCAUCGGCUAACUCCGUGCCAGCAGCCGCGGUAAUACGGAGGAUGCGAGCGUUAUCCGGAUUUAUUGGGUUUAAAGGGUGCGUAGGCGGCCUGUUAAGUCAGCGGUGAAAUCUAGGAGCUUAACUCCUAAAUUGCCAUUGAUACUGGCGGGCUUGAGUGUAGAUGAGGUAGGCGGAAUGCGUGGUGUAGCGGUGGAAUGCAUAGAUAUCACGCAGAGCUCCGAUUGCGAAGGCAGCUUACUAAGGUACAACUGACGCUGAAGCACGAAAGCGUGGGUAUCAAACAGGAUUAGAUACCCUGGUAGUCCACGCAGUAAACGAUGAUAACUGGGCGUAUGCGAUAUACAGUAUGCUCCUAAGCGAAAGCGUUAAGUUAUCCACCUGGGGAGUACGCCGGCAACGGUG
rnacentral:rRNA from 1 species